GUGAUUACCACUGACCACAGACCAUUCACCAUGAACUGGGGGAUCAGCUUGGUUUUUCCUAUAUUUAUUUUUCAAGGUGUCUGGUGUGAUGUGCAGCUCAUGGAUUCUGGAGGAGGCUUGGUGCAGCCUGGGAAGUCCCUUAAAGUCACCUGUGCAGCCGCUGGAUUCACCUUCCGUGACUAUAGCAUGCACUGGGUCCAACAGGCUCCAGAGAAGGGGCUGGAGUGGGUAGUGUACAUUAGUUAUAAUUGUGGUACCAUGUACUACGCCAACGCCGUGAAGGGCCGAUUCACCAUCUCCAGAGACAAUGCCAAGAACACCCUGUACCUGAAAAUGAACAGUCUGAGGUCUGAGGACACGGCCACAUAUUACUGUGCAAGAGACACAGUGAGUGAAUGUUACUGA